rnacentral:rRNA from 1 species
GAUGAACGCUGACAGAAUGCUUAACACAUGCAAGUCAUUGGCGAAGCUGCGCUUGCGCAGUCUAGCCAAGGCGGACGGGUGAGUAACGCGUAAGGAACUUGCCCUGCAGACAGGGAUAACAGACGGAAACGACUGAUAACACCUGGUAUUGUCAGGCUGGCGCAUGCCGGCCUGAUGAAAGGAGACGCUGCAGGAGAGCCUUGCGUCCUAUUAGCUAGUUGGUGGGGUAACGGCCCACCAAGGCGAUGAUAGGUAGCCGGCCUGAGAGGGUGAACGGCCACAAGGGGACUGAGAUACGGCCCUUACUCCUACGGGAGGCAGCAGUGGGGAAUACUGGACAAUGGGGGCAACCCUGAUCCAGCAAUUCUGUGUGCACGAAGAAGGUUUUCGGAUUGUAAAGUGCUUUCAGAAGGGAAGAAGAAAGUGACGGUACCUGCAGAAGAAGCGACGGCUAAAUACGUG